rnacentral:tRNA from 1 species
UGGGUUCGUAGCCUAGCCUGGUAGGGCGAUGGUCUCCAAAACCAUCGAUCGUCGGUUCAAAUCCGAUCGGGCCCAU